AGAAUGAUGAUAGGGAAAAUCCUGUAAUUCAUUACCUAGGCCAUUACAUCUGUAGAAAAAGUAACAUAAGUAUGAAUGUGAGAUGAAAAUAUGUCAUGUGAUUUGAUCUAAUUUCCUGAUCCUCAUGCUUAUCUCUGAAUGGCUUUUACCUAAAGAAAAAAUAAUGGGCUUCCACCCUGGGAAUUUCUGCAGUAUUUUAGAACAGCAAUGCUUAGUUUAAAAAGAAUUCCCUCUGAAUUUAGAGAAUGUUAUAAACAGUAACCAUGCCCAUUCUUAAAUGCAAAUAUCAAAGUUUUAGGCUUCAGUAUCCUUUGGCCUGUACCUUAGCCCAGUAGAUCUCUCUCAUAUUGCAGGGAUCAUGCAGAAGUGAGACUUCUGAGAAGUAGCUUGAAGUGAGAGCCUGUUCAUUGCUGCAAAAGCCAAGUGUUUGACUCCUGGUUCUAGCAAUAAUAUUUCUUUGUUACCAAGCACUUCGAAAAUGUUAAGAUUAAUCAAUGCAGUAUGUUUGUUUCAAAAAUGCAGCAAUUUAUAUCCUGGAUUUUCUUGAAUCACCUAAUCUUAUAGUCCUCUUACAUCUAUUUAGCUCAUUUCUCUAAACUCCGUAAUUAUUUGUUGUACUAUCCAUCUUGGGUAUGCUUUUUUCUCCCAAUCUUCCUUUCCUUUGCAAACAACUGCCAUCCUGCCCUCUCACCUCACCAUUACACAUCUCCCCUAAAAUUUGGUUAGCUGUGCCUUAUAUGUCAUUCUCAGAAACUUCCCUCAUCCUGCCUUGUUUGUAAGAGGCAGUGUAACAGGCCAUAACACUAAAAACAAAAAUAAAAACAAAACCCAGAAGAACUACCUUUUCAGAUAUUCCAACUUUUUGGAGUAAAAUGUUCUAAAGCUGAUUUCUAACAUAUCCUUGAAGACACAAAAGAAAUUCUUUUAUCACUGUGGUACCAACUGCUUCCUUUUUACAGUGUAAUUCACAGGCACCAGUCUGGAAGUUGAGGACCUCUGUCUCCUCUUUGUCUCCAUCCCCUCACCCCCAACCCCAACCUCAGAAAGCCAAACUGAUAUUGGCUGACCAGUAAACUAUGAGAGCAGAAGUGAGUUAUUAAGUGUAUUACAUCAAGGCCAUUUAACAAAAAUUUGUACCUUGGUGUCAGUGUAGUUCAAGGUUGGGAAUGAUAUUUUUAUGCUACUUUCCAAUUUCCUCUCAUGUGCUUUGUACUCUUUAAAUUGCAUGAGAUAUAAAGGAGAAAUAAGAAGUUAUAUUUCAGGCAGAUAGCAAUAAAUGUAAAAAUAUUAUUACCCCCAAGAGGUGGUCCUUGCAUAAAUGAAUCCUAAUAAGGUCUGGACACCUCUGUAAAUGUUGGAGCCAUAAUUGGUAAUAAGGAGAAGGUGUGAGUGUUGCACAGUGUCUUAAAGUGUGACCCAGGCCAGUACACAUGUUCACCGUGGUAGGAUCCUCAGAGUUCCUCUUGGCAGCCAGUCACAGGGCAAGACAGCAGAUGAAAACGGCCCUUCAUUGGCUACCCACUUUGACUACCCUGCCUUUGUGAAAACAGACUUGCCAAAUCAUUCAGGAGAGUCAUUUAAUUCCAUCCUGAUCAAAUUUUACAGGUCUGUGAUUCAAAUUAUUCCACGUUGUUGGCUGCAAGACUUCAUCAGGAAUGAAUUUGUUCUGCUUGGAGUCCUUAGUUAGUAUUCGAGGAAGACCUCUGUGAUUAGCCAAAUCAAAACCUUUCAGCGGCAGCCGCAGCCACAUUCAGACUGAAUCUCUGCAGCUGACUUUUCCAACAAAACAUUAUCUUCUCUCUAAUCAAGGGCGAAAACACAUGAUUUCAUUUUUAACUUUCAGUAAAUAAUCGAGCUGAGAGGGAAAUGUAGAAUCUGGAGGAGCUAAGCCCCACCCUCCCCAGGUGAGCAAGGUGCUCCCUUCUAAAACCACUCCUACAAAAAAGCCUGUCAUCCCAGUUAGGCACUCAGGACAAAAGUGAGAAGAACUUCAGAACCCUUUUGCCAAGGGGAGCAGCUGAACCAAACAACCCAAAUUUGCAUGAAAAAUUCCAACAGGAGCACAAGAGGGAGGUCUCUGCCUGGCCAAACAAAGGCAGGGCUACCCUCACUUAUCAGCUGAAUCUGCUUUAGGUCAAUUGCCCUGCUUAUUGGAAGAAGCUCAUUUCCCAGGGCCUGCAAAAGCCAUAGCUUCCCUCCAUCAUAUAAAACACCAGGCACAUUUUCUUAGGUCCUGAUGAAGAUUCCAAAUGCCAUCUUGCAGUUGCCUUGGCUUUUUUUUUUUUUUUUUUUUUUAAGCUUAUUGACUGGCAUCUCUCCUAGCUUAAGCGUGCAUAUAAGGAGAAAAUUCUGAUUUCUUGUUUCAUGCAUGGUUAGCUGUUUAUUGUUAUCAUUUGCUGGUCGGCUAAGCUCUUUGAUGACUUUAGAAGGCAAGUAAGUACCUCUAGUUUACAGCUGAGUACUUUGCUUGGCAUGGAGCUGGGCUGGAUGCAAGCUUAUUUAAGAGGUUGGUGUUUGUUCAUGGUUUUGUGAUGCUCUUACUUCUGCUCCAGAAUAGCAAUUUAUCAAGACAUCUCAUCAGUCCUUCAGAAUUGCUAUGGAACAUCUUAUUGCCCAGCCCCAAAGAGAGUAAUUUUGCAGGAGAUGUAUUUUGAUGAUGAUCCUCAUGGCAAUUUGAUUCAUAACUAAUAUAUAUAUAUAUUUACUAAACCUUCCUACUAUCUGCCAGAUUCUUAUUGUAACAAAUAACUAAAUGUCCAAAGUGAAGUCUUUGACCAUCAGAAAGAAUAAGAAUGGUAACAGUUAAGUGCUGUUUAUUCAUUCCUCUUAUUUCAUCCUUAUAAUAACCAUGACAGAUAGGUAAAACUAUCCUUAUUUCAUUAAUGAGAAGCAAAAAUACCAAGAAAUUAAAUACAGCUGGAAAGAGUUCAGUAUUAUUAGUAGAAUUUUUCCCUCCUAUUAUUUCCACCUUAAUCUUUCAUCCAAGCAGUAUAUUCAUCACCACAGGAUAGGAUUUGAGAAAAAGAAAUAGCUGGUCUUUGACUUUUGUGUAUCCCCAAAGCUAAGUUUAGUCAUGUAGUGUUUGAGGAAAAUAUCACAUUAGUAAUUGUCCCUUUGAGGUGAAAAAUCAAAAUGAGGGGGUAGGAGAAUGCCCUACUGUCCAGACUAGAGAAAAUUUCUGCCAGUUAGCUCUCUGUGUAUGUGUGAUGCAGUGAGAAAUGAAGGAAAAAAAAUGAAAGUGGUCCUGAAUUGAGGAUCCCGCUUCCCGUAGAAAAUCUAAAGAGACCUUAAUCGGUUGCAAUCCUGUGUUGUACUUGGGGCCAUGAACAGCCCAGAUGAGUGUAUGGUCAGGCCAGUCAAGGUGGCUGUUCUCUUGCUCUCUGUAGAAGCCCUGCUCAACCAGUGCCUGUUUCACCUACACCCUUCACACCUGACUUUCCUACCGUCUUGCCCCAGGCCUCAGCUGGUGAUCUUAUCGAAGGGGCAAAAAGGGGGCGUGCCUCUGUUGGUUUCCCUGAGUAAACAAAGAGCCAACCUGACCUCAUUUCCUCUUAUAAGAGAGAAUCUCCCCGCCCCCGGGAGCCAAGUCUGCUGCCACAUCCGGCCAGCCUUCUGCCACGCAAGGGAGAGUGAGGGUGGAGUGGGAAGAAGGCAAGAAAGUGGAUUUAAAUGGGGCAGAUCAAGUUGAAUCUCAGCUAAAUCACCCUCAGCUCAUCAGAGCAAGUAGUUUGCUCACUGUGUAGGUUGACUGUGUGUGAAGGGCACCGUAAGCAUCAUGGGAUAGAAGGACAAUGAAGAAAUGAAAACCUCAGAAAGCUGGGAACCCAAGGAGUGGAAGCAGUUUUACCUCGAACUACAGAAGCUUCAGAUUUGGAACUCUCACUUGCACCAGCCUCUCUGUAUGGGUUUCUUCUGAGUGACUGCAGGCGUUAUGGAGAUGCAAUUAAGAUCAAUUUAAUUUGGAUUUAGUAAUUUGUAUAUAUCUCUGCUUUGCAAUCAUUUCCAUUUAUAGUUAAGUUAUUGCUCAAUCUGGUGUCAAACUGGCUUCCAAAUAUUCCUACAGCCACUGUGCCAAUUUCUUUGUGUCCCGAAAUGAAGGUGCAGAGCCUAACAUAAGACUCAUAACCUUCACUACAAGUAAUAUUUGAAUACUAAUUGAUUUAUAAGCAUCAUCAUUACAAACCAUAUUUAAUCUUCAUCACUGCCUAAGGCACCUUGAGAUAGCUAAAGUUUUAGAGUUCAAAUAUGAAAGGAACUAAAUAGUUUUCUAAAUUAUAAACAUAUAUAUGUAUAUAGGUAGUGAAGCUCUAUGUUGAACAGCCUUUCUAAAGGUAAAACUAAAUUAUCCUUCUCUUGUCUCUAAGGAAAGUCAUUUAAUAAAUAGUUGGCAAACAGAUAAUAUGUGUGCAACCAAAACAAAAAAAUAAAAGGAAAAUAUUAUAUUAUAAAAUUCAGUAAUUAAUAAAAAGUAUAGUAGUUUAUCCCCUUUGAAUUUUGUGUUGUUCUAGGUUGUAAUGUGUAUAGAGGUACAAUUCCCAGAUCUCUCUCUCCAAACAGAAGCUCUCAUUUUUCCAGCUGUGGGGAAUAGUGGUUGCUGUUGGCUAAUGGCUGCAGCACUUUCCAGAAAUUGUCCAGCCUGAGGGGAGCUGCUUUAUCUAAGAUUAUUCCCCCUUCUGGGGGCAGCCCAUAUCCCAAAUCAGGUGACAAGCAAGGUCCUAGCCGGGUAUCUGUCUCCCUUGCCCCUUGCCUGACAUGGGGCCAGUGCAGAGGGACUAUUCCAGCUCCAGAGCUCCAGGUCAAGUAGGCCAUGACCCUUGUUGUGGAUGCGCUGCAUUUCAGACUCUCUUUCUCUUAAUCCUGAUGCCUGCCCUCCCUCACACAUGCUUUUUCUUAGAACACUCCCCCAGAUUGUCCUACACAAUUCAUUUUAAGGUAAUUUAAGAUGCUGAUAAACUUCAUUUGUUUUAGUUUGUAGUCUUUAAAAAUUUUUUUUCUCAUUCGAAGUAAAUAUUAUAUGUUUUACCUAAUUUUUGAUCCAUGAUUUUUCUAUCCUUGUUCAUAAAAGAUAGCUCUCAAAACUGUCUAAGCUUCAGGGUCCACAAAACUAGGAUCUUGUCUUUCUCUCUUUGAAGGAGAAAUCUCCCCCACACCCAGUGGGUGCCCCAUCUGGUGGCAGGAGAAAUAAUCCAAUAAUCACAGAGAAUGGUCUGAGUGCUCCCUGCAUGAGAAAUCUGUGGUCAUAAUGUUUGACCACCAACCCCUGUGGCCAUAUUACUUCUGACUGCAUUGCAACCAUGUCUUUUUUCACAUUACCUGGUUUCACAUCCUAUAAAUUUAACACUGUUUAAGAAUAUUUUCCAGCACUCCCUCUGUGGCACAAAGGAAUAAGAGGUGUUUUUGGCAGCGCUGGGUCUCAGGUUUGAUCCCUGACCUGGCACAAUAGGUUAAGGAUCCGGCAUUGCCACAGCUGUAGCUUAGGUCAUAACUAACUGAGGCUUGGAUCUGAUUCUCGGCCCAGGAACUCUACAUGCUGUGGGGCAGCCCAAAAUGGGGAAGGUAGGGAGAGAAUGUUUUCUAAUUUACAGAGUCAGGGGUAUCCAAUCAUUCCCCAAAUAUCUUUAUAGCUUUUUUUCUUUAACUUUCCAUGUAGGUAAAUGAGAUCAUACAUUUUUUUCUGAUUAUCAUGUCUCUAUGCUUCUUUAAUCUACAGGUGUCCUCCCACUUAUUUCUUUAAGAACAUUGAUCUUUUUGAAAAGUUAAGGUCAAUUGCAUUGUAGGAUAUUGUACAUUCUAGAUUUGUCUCAUUGUUUAGGAUAAUUUUUUUUUUUUUU